rnacentral:rRNA from 1 species
AACGAACGCUGGCGGCAGGCUUAACACAUGCAAGUCGAACGGGUGUAGCAAUACACCAGUGGCAGACGGGUGAGUAACACGUGGGAACCUUCCUAGGGGUACGGAACAACUCAGGGAAACUUGAGCUAAUACCGUAUACGUCCGUAAGGAGAAAGAUUCAUCGCCCCUAGACGGCCCGCGUCGGAUUAGGUAGUUGGUGGGGUAACGGCCUACCAAGCCUACGAUCCGUAGCUGAUCUGAGAGGAUGAUCAGCCACACUGGGAC